GGCUUGAUGAGCAGUGUGUAGGUCUGCACCCGGGAUCCGAAUGGGCAAACCCUGGGCCGCCGAAGCGGAAGGUGUGAACUUAACCACUGUGCCACCGGGCCAGCCGCUGGUUAGAUCAUUUUAAAUGCCUGGACUGAGUAGCCAGGAAGUUGAAGACAAGGCACAUAACUGGAUUCAUCCAGGUGGGUUUGAGGGUUAUUGAAGUGGUUAAAGUGAUCAAGGAUCAAAAGUGGAGAAGGAAAAAAAAAAGAUCAAAGGUGGACUCUAAUUGGGUAGGGAAGGAAGAGGGCUCACAGCACAGUCAAGGGAAUGGCAGUCUGGAGGUUCAAGAACAGAUGUAACUGGAGUGCAGCUGAGAGCUGUGGGCAGAGCGGGAUGUCUGAAUCUGCUUCUUCAGGGGCAGUGCAGGUCCACGUGACAAUGUGCACGGCGAGGUCAUGAGGAGCGGCUGACGUGAAAUGGGGAAGGUGACUGGAGUCCCAUAAUCUGCGCCAGGCACGGCGGGACACCCUCAAGCAGUUUCCAGCCACGAGAGCAGACGUGCAGGCGGCUCGGCCCGGUGCCACAGCCGGAGCCGUGAGAAGACGGUGCGGGCAGGGGAAACUCGCUGUCAGGAGCGCGGCUACACAGAGGAGAGCGGUGCAGGCUCCCGGGCACAGAGCAACCCGCGCAGAGGCUGCGGCUCACAGCCUGCCUUUGUGCACAGAGUAGACAAAACAGUAGUCGUAAGACAGGCCAAACCAACGUCUGCAGCCACUGCUCAGGACUGCAGGCCUGCCUCUGCAGGGACAGCGAGCAGAGAAGACCAUGAGGGGGCUCGGGUGCUGUGAUGUCCUGUUCCUUGAUCUGGCUGCUGGUUAGACAAGUGUGUUGUUUGCGAAAAGGAAGCCAUAUGUACCACUUACAAACAUGCACUUUUCUCUAUGUUUAUCACAGUUCAAUAAAAAAUUUUAAAGACAACA